rnacentral:rRNA from 1 species
AACGAACGCUGGCGGCAUGCCUAACACAUGCAAGUCGAACGAAACCGUCGGGUCUAGGUGCGCACGUGGGCGUAACGCGGGGGAAGCUGCCCGUAGGUUCGGAGUAACUGCCCGAAGGGGGUGCUAAUACCGGAUGAUGUCUUCGGGCCAAAGAGUUAUCGCCGUUGGAUGGGCGCGGGUUAGAUUAGCUAGUUGGUAGUGUAAAAGCCUACCAAGGGGACGAUGCAUAGCUGGUCUGAGAGCAUGCUCAUCAACAAUGGGACUGCGACACGGACCAGAAUCCUACGGGGGGGAGCAGUAGGGUACAUUGGACGCUGGACGAUAGCCUGAUCCAGCCAUGCCGCGUGAGUGAGGAAGGCCUUAGUGUUGCAAAGCUCUUUUAGCCGGGAUGAUAAUGACAGUACCGGGAGAAUAAGCCCCGGCUAACUACUUG